rnacentral:rRNA from 1 species
GACGAACGCUGGCGGCGUGCCUAACACAUGCAAGUCGAGCGAAUGAAGUUCCUUCGGGAACGGAUUUAGCGGCGGACGGGUGAGUAACACGUGGGCAACCUGCCUCAUAGAGGGGAAUAGCCUUCCGAAAGGGAGAUUAAUACCGCAUAAGAUUGUAGUACCGCAUGGUAUAGCAAUUAAAGGAGCAAUCCGCUAUGAGAUGGGCCCGCGGCGCAUUAGCUAGUUGGUGAGGUAACGGCUCACCAAGGCGACGAUGCGUAGCCGACCUGAGAGGGUGAUCGGCCACAUUGGGACUGAGGCACGGCCCAGACUCCUACGGGAGGCAGCAGUGGGGAAUAUUGCACAAUGGGGGAAACCCUGAUGCAGCAACGCCGCGUGAGUGAUGACGGCCUUCGGGUUGUAAAGCUCUGUCUUCAGGGACGAUAAUGACGGUACCUGAGGAGGAAGCCACGGCUAACUACGUGCCAGCCGCCGCCGUAAUAC